CGCGUGCUUACCUGCAGUCGAACGAUGAUCCCCAGCUUGCUGGGGGGAUUAGUGGCGAACGGGUGAGUAACACGUGAGUAACCUGCCCUUGACUCUGGGAUAAGCCUGGGAAACUGGGUCUAAUACUGGAUACGACCUUCCAUCGCAUGGUGGUUGGUGGAAAGCUUUUGUGGUUUUGGAUGGACUCGCGGCCUAUCAGCUUGUUGGUGGGGUAAUGGCCUACCAAGGCGACGACGGGUAGCCGGCCUGAGAGGGUGGACGGCCACACUGGGACUGAGACACGGCCCAGACUCCUACGGGAGGCAGCAGUGGGGAAUAUUGCACAAUGGGCGCAAGCCUGAUGCAGCGACGCCGCGUGAGGGAUGAAGGCCUUCGGGUUGUAAACCUCUUUCAGUAGGGAAGAAGCGAAAGUGACGGUACCUGCAGAAGAAGCGCCGGCUAACUACGUGCCAGCAGCCGCGGUAAUACGUAGGGCGCAAGCGUUAUCCGGAAUUAUUGGGCGUAAAGAGCUCGUAGGCGGUUUGUCGCGUCUGCCGUGAAAGUCCGGGGCUUAACUCCGGAUCUGCGGUGGGUACGGGCAGACUUGAGUGAUGUAGGGGAGACUGGAAUUCCUGGUGUAGCGGUGAAAUGCGCAGAUAUCAGGAGGAACACCGAUGGCGAAGGCAGGUCUCUGGGCAUUAACUGACGCUGAGGAGCGAAAGCAUGGGGAGCGAACAGGAUUAGAUACCCUGGUAGUCCAUGCCGUAAACGUUGGGCACUAGGUGUGGGGGACAUUCCACGUUUUCCGCGCCGUAGCUAACGCAUUAAGUGCCCCGCCUGGGGAGUACGGCCGCAAGGCUAAAACUCAAAGGAAUUGACGGGGGCCCGCACAAGCGGCGGAGCAUGCGGAUUAAUUCGAUGCAACGCGAAG
rnacentral:rRNA from 1 species